UAAGCCACAUGGACAAUUCAUGAAUUGUUUGGUUGAAGCUUAUAGAGCUUGUGAACAGCAGAGCCAGGCCAGAUGGAGCCCGCAUGAUCCUUGUGCUGAUGCUUUAGGUUCUCACCGCCAUGCUCAUCGAAGCCACAAGAGGAAAUGAAUGAAGAUGGUGUAGCAGAAAGGUGUCUUCAUCUGUGAAAUGUGAGCUUUGGACCUGUUUAGGCCCAUGGCUCUUUCCGGUUUGCAGUCUAAGCCCACCAGGUUUGGAUCUUCAGCAGGAGACAGAGAGGAUCACUCAAGGCUCACACUCCUGCCUGGGCAUGUUUGGAGUUUGAGUGCUCAGUCUGAACUAGGAGUCCAGGAGUUAAUCUAAGGCACAAAUGUUUUCAGUGUUCAGUCUAAAAUGCAAGCAGCAUUUUACUGGCAGCCUCUUAAAAGCACAUGACUCAUUCAGAAAUACAACAUUUGGUCGAUGACUAUGUCAGACUUUCAGGUAUCAACUACUCAAGGAAUCCCCAGUUCUUGUUCCUCCACUACAAUAUCCUACAGCUUCUGUUUCUUGCUUUCCAGAGUGUCUCAAUUUUUAUUUAUCAUUAAUAUCACCCAGUUCUCCUAUAAUUUUAGAGUAUCUGGCUGACCCCUUUUAAAACUGCCCUAUGCUGGGGU